ACAUUAGCUCAGAUGGUAGAGCACCUGACUUUUAAUCAGGUUGUCGGGGGUUCGAGUCCCCCAUGU
rnacentral:tRNA from 1 species